rnacentral:rRNA from 1 species
AAUAGAUACCCGGUAGUCCACGCCGUAAACGAUGAGUGCUAAGUGUUAGGGGGUUUCCGCCCCUUAGUGCUGCAGCUAACGCAUUAAGCACUCCGCCUGGGGAGUACGGCCGCAAGGCUGAAACUCAAAGGAAUUGACGGGGGCCCGCACAAGCGGUGGAGCAUGUGGUUUAAUUCGAAGCAACGCGAAGAACCUUACCAGGUCUUGACAUCCUCUGACAAUCCUAGAGAUAGGACGUUUCCCUUCGGGGAACGAGAGUGACAGGUGGUGCAUGGUUGUCGUCAGCUCGUGUCGUGAGAUGUUGGGUUAAGUCCCGCAACGAGCGCAACCCUUGAUCUUAGUUGCCAGCAUUCAGUUGGGCACUCUAAGGUGACUGCCGGUGACAAACCGGAGGAAGGUGGGGAGUGGACGUCAAAUCAUCAUGCCCCUUAUGACCUGGGCUACACACGUGCUACAAUGGAUGGUACAAAGGGCUGCAAGACCGCGAGGUUUAGCCAAUCCCAUAAAACCAUUCUCAGUUCGGAUUGCAGGCUG